GCUAAAAGAGACGUAUUGUUGUUGCUUCCCUACAAAUAAAAAAUCUUACUCUUGCCCGAUCCCUUUUCUCCUUUCCUUCUUCUCUCCGCUCGCUCAUUCCAAAAUUCAUACGAGCGGAUGAGAUCCGACUGCUCGACUCGCAGGUGAUGUGGGCUUGGAUCUUGUCUUCCGCUGCCAGCUUGAAUCCAUCUUGAGCGUGAGGAUGGCGGCAGCGUUGUCUUCCCCUAGCGCGCGAGUCGGACGCAUCGUCGUUGUUCCCAGUCGAGGCAGACCGACACAUCGUUGUCAUCCUCCACAUUGGCAACUUUCUUCGACCUACAGGGGGAUGUGGAACCUCGAGUGUGCUCCCUAUAGAAGCAGCUCUGCAAUAUGAGAUGACAUCACUGCUAGUACUAUCUUUCCUUCGGAACACAACUUUGCUGUGAUUGCCUUCGUAGGUGGAAACGCAACCUUUUGAUGCAGAGAUCUUGAAAGUGCAUUUUGAACUGAAAUAGUCUUCAGCACGCAUCAUUGCGUGAUAUAAGGAAGUAACCAAGGGCUUUGAGCUCUACCAGUGGAGAUGGGGAUGAGGACGAUGUCCAAGACGGCACCUGAUCUGGACCAAUCCACCUCUAGUGUUGGUGCCCUACCACCAUGAGAGCGGUCAGCAGCAGUCUUCGCCAUCCUCGCGCUCAGUACGGCCUAGUCAAUGCAUGUUUACCUUGGAUAUUUUCUAUAACUUGGAUACUAAAUAUCACAUAGAUAUUACCUGAUUUCUACUUGGACAAAUCGGUCUCUCAAACAGCUAACGAAUGAAUGUAGUGCAUCUUAGAAAAAUAAAUCAAAUAAUUGUGGUUGAUGAUGAGGCACUAAUGGCGAAGCCGUCGCGGGGUGAGAGUCGUGGAAUCAACAUACCCCAGCCUCUCUAUUGAUCAAAGGAUUGAUUGGACUAAACAUCCACGUAUAUAGCUAGCAGCAAAUCAGAUUGAUUCCUCCUGUGCGUAGCUAGCAAGGCUACCUAGCUGAUUGAUUUUCGGCCAGCCGGAAAUGCGCACACACACGAAACAUGCUGUAGCUAAUGGCUUCAACAGCAACCGUAAACAACAAUCAUCAAAGCAGAUUGAUUCCUCCUGCCAUGCUUAGCUAGCUGAUUAAUUGAUUUGCAGCCGGCCAGAAACGCAUCUGCACGCAAAAUUAGCUUUAGCUCAUGGAUCCACCAACAAUACUUCUGGCGAAGCGAGGAAGAAAAUAACAAUAAAUUAAUCUCUACAGGGCCAAUAAAUAGAGCAGUAAGGAACUGAAGGAGAAUUGGGGAUUGUUCGAGCUAGAAGAAUUAAGGACAGGUCGAUGACGGCUGCUGCAACAGCGUACGGGGGAGAAAGACCUUGUGUUUUUUUGGACGUGGCCAAGAUAACUUAUUAAGGGCAUUGGUGGGUAAUAUUUUAGAUCUUUUAAUCCAUUGGUUGUGCUUACCUAAUGUGUUUAAAUUGAUGGCUAGAUGUUUCUAAUUAUUAUGGGAUUUUCUAGCUUAAUUUUCUUUUUUCUGGUAAGCCCGUAAAGCACUUUUUAUCUUUACCUAAUAAUAAAGCAAAUUGGAUUUUUUUCGUCGGUCAUAACAUUUUUUAGAAAAGUCCCUCUCUUUCAGAGAAUUCAACCCGCAGUCCUGUUUUAAGUUAAAACGAAUUUUUUUUCAUAUUUUACACAAAAGUCCAUGUAUUUUGUUGAAAUCAACCCGCAGUCCGGAUUUAAGUCACACCCGAACCAUUAUUUUACAUUUUUCGAAACCCCCCCCCCGGAUGUUUUAGGUAAUUCAUCCGCGGAUCAUAUUUAAGUCAAACAAUAUUUUUUUAAAUUAUCCAUA